UCAAAUAGCAUCCUCAACAUU
rnacentral:miRNA from 1 species